UGGCUUUGUGACCCCACUGUGAGCUGGUACAGCCCCCAGCUAGCAUGGCACCUGGGGUGAUGCUCACCAUCAAUGCUCUUGUUAGUUUUGAAGGCAGACCAUUUUUUGCACUUUGAACCACUGGUUGAGUCCCGCAAACUGACAUGCUCAGUUUUUCUCAUUUAGAUCUCUCUAAAAGUUCAGGCCAGUGAGACAGGGUAUCUGUGUGAUGCCACAGACACAUAUAUAUCUCUUUACAAUGCAGAACACCUCUUUGAAAAACAAUCAAAAUGUCUAGUAAACACUGGCUCUGCUUCUUUGUUUUAUUUUCAAUAUCAAACCAAGAGCUAUGUUUUCACGUAAGAAUAACCUAUUGUGAAGAAACAAAGAAUUAUUCUAAUUAGAGACUAGUAUAGCUGUCAAUCAACUUGCUUAGUGAAAUUGAAAUGUCAUCUGGAAUGCUUUGACUGCCAAAUGCAAGAAUCCCUAUAGUUUCCUCAGAUGGCCUCCUAAUCUAAACCUAACAAAUAACUAGGAUAACCAUUCUGAUUAAAACGGAAGUUUAUAUUCUUGUAUUUCUCAGCACUUUGCAUAGAGAGUCUUAUGUUCAUUGCUGUUCAUGCCUCUUGAGAUAUCUUUGCAACUCCUGAAGCUUGCUACAUUUUCAGAUGUCUGUGCCAUGAUUAAUCGCUUCUUCUUCAUGUAGAUGCAAGUCCUGCUGGAUCAACCAGGAAUAAUGAUCCAACAAGACGUCCAGAGCUAGAAGCUGGUACCAGCACCGAAGGCAACAGCGCAGGGCAUUCCGGGAACAACCUCCUGGGUUCCAAAGUGGCCUGAUUCGAAGGAAUCACAUCAGGAUGCAUCAUCGUCAUCGUCAUCAUCAUCACCUUGGUGGUACUGCUGCUCAAGUACCGCAGGAGGCACGGCAAACACUCUCCACAGCACACAGCCACACCCAAGUGAGGUGGCAACAACUCUGGCUGGGAACCCAGUGAUGUUAUCAUACCACUAAGGACUGCAGACAGUGUCUUCUGCCCACACUAUGAGAAGGUCAGCGGGGACUAUGGGGACCCAGUGUACAUAGCGCAGGAGAUGCCCCCAGAGAAUCCUGCUAACAUUUACUACAAGGUCUGAGGCCUGGGACCUUCGCCUCCCAAGGGAACUCUCACCUUAUUGUGAGUGCAGGAACUGAGCCUGAUGUUGGGGGCGGAAUGCCUCCUGGAAGAGCCUGGAGCUGGACAGUUUUGUAGGCUGUAGCUUUUCAGCCUUGGGGAACCACAGACCUUCCCCGGAAGCUGGAAGACUGCUAAGAGAUCCCCACUUGGACUGCUGUGUCCCUGUGCAGACCUGUAUGCUAUGCACACAGCCAGGCACUCAGGCCUCUGAAGAUCCCGUGGAGGACACGGUGGUCUAUGGGUGAUGCAGCAGUACCUUAGGAGAAAGUUGCACCUCUGCCUCUGUGUUUCCUGCCAUGCACACUGGACUUGUCACUCGGACCUUGGGUAACCUCAGUAAGAUUUUCAAAGAUCUGUAGCAUUUAGUCCACACUCCUUCUGUCGCCAGGGCUCUGCAACACCUCCCCAGACCCCUCACUCUACAUCCCGAAUCAUUAAGGGACACUCACCACCCAGCCCUGGCCCCACCCUUUACACCAAGAUGAGAUUAAAUGUGUAUUAGGUACAGAA